rnacentral:rRNA from 1 species
UACGUAGGGGGCUAGCGUUGUCCGGAAUCGUUGGGCGUAAAGAGCGUGUAGGCGGUCCGGUAAGUCCGCUGUGAAAGUCGGGGGCUCAACCCUCGAAUGCCGGUGGAUACUGUCGGGCUAGAGUGCGGAAGAGGCGAGUGGAAUUCCUGGUGUAGCGGUGAAAUGCGCAGAUAUCAGGAGGAACACCUAUUGCGAAGGCGGGUCUCUGGGCCGAUACUGACGCUGAGGAGCGAAAGCGUGGGUAGCAAACAGG